UACGUAGGGUGCAAGCGUUAAUCGGAAUUACUGGGCGUAAAGCGCACGUAGGCGGAUUGUUAAGUCGGGGGUGAAAUCCUGGAGCUCAACUCCAGAACUGCCUUCGAUACUGGCGAUCUUGAGUCCGGGAGAGGUGAGUGGAACUCCGAGUGUAGAGGUGAAAUUCGUAGAUAUUCGGAAGAACACCAGUGGCGAAGGCGGCUCACUGGCCCGGAACUGACGCUGAGGCGCGAAAGCGUGGGGAGCAAACAGG
rnacentral:rRNA from 1 species